CUUGAUUGUGUUGUACUAUCUUCUUAAUUUAUUUUUGAAUGCUGUUUGCUCAUGAAUGUAGAACAUUAGUAUAUGACAGUUCCUCAAAAAGUAAAACAUAGAAUUAGCAUAUGACCCUGCCAUUCCACUUCUAUGUGUAUUAACAAAAGAAGUGAAAGCAUAUAUUCAAAUGAGCCUAUGUGUACCCAUGUUAAUAUUAAUAGCAGCACUAUUCACAAAAGCCAAAGCCUACAUGUCAACCAGUGGACAAAUGGAUAAACAAAUGUAUAUAUGAAAGUACUGGAACAUUAUUCAACCAUAAGGAGGAGUGAUGUACUGAUUCAUGCUACAAUCUCAUGAGAUAAUAAUGGCUGAAAUGUUGAAGGAAGACAGACACAAAAGGUUACACUUAGGUGAGAUAUUCAGAAUAGAUAAAUCCAUAGAGAUCAAAUGCAGAUUGGUGGUUGCCUAGAGCUAUGGGGAAGGGUGCAAUGGGGAAAAAUUGCUUAAUGGGGGUUUUACUCAGGAGUGAUGAAAAUAUUUUGCAAUUAGAUAGAGGUGGUGCUUGCACAAUAUUUUAAAAAAAUUGUUCUUUUUAGAUCUACAUGACACUAGAGUGUAUUUUGACAUAUUACACAAACCUGGAAUAUAAUUUCCCCUUCUUGUGGCUGGCUGGUUGCACAACAUAUUGAAUGUACUGAGUCCCAGGGAUUGUUCACUUUAAAAUGAUUAAUUUUAUGUUAUAUAGAUUUCACCUCAAAUUAUUAAAGACAUAACUAUAUAGAUUAUGUGCAAAUCUGUAAAUAUAUAAAGGCCUGAUUAAGUGGCUGGAAGAUUUGUAAGUGUUUGCUUCUAGGGCAAAAGAAUAUGGGACUAGGG
rnacentral:lncRNA from 1 species